UUGCACAGUGAACACCCAAGUGUCCUUGAUGGUUCCCUUGGUUUUAACUCUGUGCUAAAGCAAUGUCUGAUCUUUACGUCUGCAUUGAAAGGACUGUCCUUUUAAGUGUAUUCAAAAAAUCAGCACAUUA